rnacentral:rRNA from 1 species
CCUACGGGCGGCUGCAGUGGGGAAUAUUGGACAAUGGGGGCAACCCUGAUCCAGCAAUGCCGCGUGAGUGAUGAAGGCCUUCGGGUUGUAAAGCUCUUUUGGCGGGGACGAUGAUGACGGUACCCGCAGAAGAAGCCCCGGCUAACUUCGUGCCAGCAGCCGCGGUAAUACGAAGGGGGCUAGCGUUGUUCGGAAUUACUGGGCGUAAAGCGCGCGUAGGCGGUUGUUCAAGUCAGGUGUGAAAGCCUUGAGCUCAACUCAAGAAAUGCACUUGAUACUGGAUGACUAGAGGACCGGAGAGGAUAGUGGAAUUCCCAGUGUAGUGGUGAAAUACGUAGAGAUUGGGAAGAACACCAGUGGCGAAGGCGGCUAUCUGGACGGUUUCUGACGCUAAGACGCGAAAGCGUGGGGAGCAAACAGGAUUAGAUACCCUUGUAGUC